AUGAGUGAGGGUCUCUUCAGGCCCGACCUCCCAACCCUUUGUCUACCUUACCAAUCGUUGCUUCGGCGGGCCCGUCUUUGUUGACCGCCGGGGGACUGUCACACCGUUCCCUGGCCUGCGCCCGUCGGUGGCCACUUUUAACCAAUUCUUCACCAAAAUGUGUUUACUGAGUAAUUAUUUUUAAAAUAAAACA
rnacentral:misc_RNA from 1 species